UGUAAGCGUAUACCAGAGUUGUUGCAGUUAAAACGCUCGUAGUCGGAAUUUGGCAGUUCCGGAUGUGUGCACGUCGUGUGCGCACUUCGCGGGGAUUGCUUUUGUGGUCUUGCGUAGGAUGAGGCACUUUUAUUAGUGAACGUCCUCACGCAACCACUUUUUACUGUGAGAAAAUCAGAGUGCUCAAAGCAGGCAUUUGCCGUGAAUGUAUUAGCAUGGAAUAAUAGAAUAGGACUUGGUUCUAUUUUGUUGGUUUGUUGGGACUGAGUAAUGAUUAAGAGGGACAGUUGGGGGCAUUUGUAUUUCGGUGCUAGAGGUGAAAUUCUUAGAUUACCGAAAGACAAACUGCUGCGAAAGCGUCUGCCAAGGAUGUUUUCAUUGA
rnacentral:rRNA from 1 species